rnacentral:lncRNA from 1 species
CUUAAUUUCCCCCCAUACUUUUACACAUCAUAGGUACGAAUUAUAACAUCAAUUUAAUGUUUAAUCAACCUUUGGUGAAAUUCAAUUAAAUAAUUGCAUGUAUUCAUACAUGUGUUUAUUACCCAACACUUAAUCUCUACACAUUCAACAAUUGUCCAUGUUCAAUCAUUAUUAUCUUACUACCAUGCCACACAUUCACUC